rnacentral:pre_miRNA from 1 species
CAAGUACUCCCUCCGUCCCAAAAUAAGUGACUCGACUUUGUACUAAAGCUAGUACAAAGUUGAGUCACUUAUUUUGGGACGGAGGGAGUAUCUU